UUGACAAUAAGACAGGAUCAGGUCCAGAAUAUAAAUAUGUGUGAUACCAACCUGUAAACGCACACUUGAGACACAUCAGAUCAGACGGUUGACUCUUCAGACUCUUCCUGUGAAAAUGGAUCAAAGUUUUAGAAGUUGGACUGAGAUCCAGGAGGCAGAUCAGGACACUCAGAAGAUUGUGAUGAGGUGAAGCUUCAAGUGGAGGAAAAGAAAAGCAAGAACUAUGAAGUCUACAAAGCACUUCAGUUCAGAAGUUUGCUUUUGAUGGGAUGUAGUCACUACCUUUUUAAGGUUCAUGUGGGAGGAAGUCACUACCUUCAUCUGAUGGUGUACCAAAUGUGCCGUGGAGAAAUCACGUUGAAGUGUGUGAAGGAGGUAGAGGAACCCCUUGAACCUUCUAAUGAUAAAAUCAAUGUGCAAAGGAAUAAUAAAGAAUUAAUCAAAA